CAGAAAAUAGUUUAUUUAAAAAUUUUAAUUUUGGAAAUUAAAGAAGGGAGCUUUCUUUUUUCUGA
rnacentral:tRNA from 1 species